rnacentral:rRNA from 1 species
AUUGAACGCUGGCGGCAUGCCUUACUCAUGCAAGUCGAACGGCAGCGGGGGAGAAGCUUGCUUUUCCUGCCGGCGAGUGGCGAACGGGUGAGUAAUACAUCGGAACGUGCCCUGUAGUGGGGGAUAACUAGUCGAAAGAUUAGCUAAUACCGCAUACGACCUGAGGGUGAAAGUGGGGGACCGCAAGGCCUCAUGCUAUAGGAUCGGCCGAUGUCCGAUUAGCUAGUUGGUGGGGUAAAGGACUACCAAGGCGACGAUCAGUAGCUGGUCUGAGAGGACGAUCAGCCACACUGGGACUGAGACACGGCCCAGACUCCUACGGGAGGCAGCAGUGGGGAAUUUUGGACAAUGGGCGAAAGCCUGAUCCAGCAAUGCCGCGUGUGUGAAGAAGGCCUUCGGGUUGUAAAGCACUUUUGUCCGGAAAGAAAUGGCUCUGGUUAAUACCUGGGGUCGAUGACGGUACCGGAAGAAUAAGGACCGGCUAACUACGUGCCAGCCGCCGCGGUAA